rnacentral:rRNA from 1 species
AGAGUUUGAUCAUGGCUCAGAGUGAACGCUGGCGGUAGGCCUAACACAUGCAAGUCGAACGGCAGCACGGACUUCGGUCUGGUGGCGAGUGGCGGACGGGUGAGGAAUACAUAGGAAUCUGCCCAGUCGUGGGGGAUAACGUAGGGAAACUUACGCUAAUACCGCAUACGACCUACGGGUGAAAGUGGGGGACCGCAAGGCCUCACGCGAUUAGAUGAGCCGAUGUCCGAUUAGCUAGUUGGCGGGGUAAUGGCCCACCAAGGCGACGAUCGGUAGCUGGUCUGAGUGGACGACCAGCCACACUGGGACUGAGACACGGCCCAGACUCCUACGGGAGGCAGCAGUGGGGAAUUUUGGACAAUGGGCGCAAGCCUGAUCCAGCAAUGCCGCGUGCAGGAAGAAGGCCUUCGGGUUGUAAACUGCUUUUGUACGGAACGAAACGGUCCGGGUUAAUACCCUGGGCUAAUGACGGUACCGUAAGAAUAAGCACCGGCUAACUACGUGCCAGCAGCCGCGGUAAU